GCUUUGGGAAAAUAUGAUUAAUUGAGUCACCUUUUUUUCCAUACAUCUAGAAAGAGACGAAUACGGUCUUAAAGUUAAUCCAGAGUCGCCAUGGAAUUACAGGAAUCUUCAGCUCUGAUUUCUCCUCCAUUCUCCUUUUUGUUUCCUCUGCUGAGCCACUUAGAAGUUAGGAUCAAAGUUUGUCCCUCUGUUAUCCCCAAAUGUCAAUUCAAUGUGAUUAAUGGUCAGCCUCUAUUACAUUCUGUGCUAAUCUAAAUUCCAUAAAAAUGUUUGAACAAAUUACCAUGUCCAUAUACAGAAUCUACCAAAAAUAAAUAUGCAGAAAGAGCAAAAAGAAGAUACAUAUAAUGUUUUACAAUCAAUGCCUAUAUUUCAUUCCUAUGAUAAACUGAUGUCAAUGGAUGGAGGAGUGGGGAUACUGAAAUGAAACGAAUAAUGAAACUCAAUCUAUCAAUAUCAUGCAUCAUCUGUAAGGCAAACAUUGAACUCUAAUAUUACAAAAUAGCAUAAUAAAUGAAAAAGAUAGAAAGACAGACAGGAAGGAAUAUAGACAUGUGACAUUCAAAAAUAAAUAAAUUUCCUACCUCUUCGGUGUCUCAUAAUCAUCUCUCUCUCUCUUAUUUACUCUUGGUUAUACAAAGUACCAUGGUCCAAAGACGCUGCAAAUCACUUGUCCAAGGGUCAUGGUAAGCAUAUUCGUAGAUGUCGUGUCAAACAAAAUGUUUGUGGUUAGGGUACUUCAAAAGCUUUUCAUAAACUUUUUUCAUUGCUAGUAACUUUCAGAAUCUCAAGCUUUAGACACAUUACAACCAUAUCUCAUAAUAUAUGAGUCACAAGCAAUAAAUAGAAAAAACAACCAAAUUAAAGUAGUAUCAUUUGGGUUUGUGAAUAUCUUCUUCGUUUAUCAUAUGCUAGGAGAAGCAGUUGACAUGAUAAUACAAAAUGAACAUGAGUUCAUACAUCACAAAAUAUGAAGAUCGAUAAUAGAAUUUGAACACUAAAUUCAAGUAACAAUAAUAAAAACAUCCAAAUAAUGAGAGUUAAAGAAUCAAAUAGUACCCUUUGAUAAAUGCUACUAUUGCAAUAGCACAAUCUUUACUUGUUAACUAUUGUCAAUCUGGAAGUUGUGUACGAAGUACAUUCUUUCUAUUUGUUAGUAAUAGACUUCCAAAAUAGUAAUCCUUAUCAUCCAACAAAAGUUGCACUUAUAGGUUAGGCUUGUUUUUUCUCCACCAAUUGAUAUCAAUUAUCACGAGAAAGAAACCAUUUGACAUUCAAUUUUAUCAACACUUUUCCUUCUAUCAUAAUGUCUUGAAAGUUCUGAAAUAAUAAGUCUUAUGAUUUAUCAUCUGGUCCACUAAGUUGAUGGCAUACAUAUUCUUGUCUUUUGAGUAUAUACAUGGAUGAACACUCUUUAUAUAAGAGUUGAUAUUUUAUACUUUCUGAGCUCAGUUGAAGUCUACUUGUACUUGAAUAGAAAUAAAAUAAAUCUUUCCUAAAAAUUCCCAAACCCCUAUUCUUUCCCAAUCAGAAGAAACAACAAGAGUUUGUGUACUCUGAAAUUAUGUGCAGAAUUUUCCCACCAUCAAUCAUUAUUAGCAUUAAAAACAGACUCGAGACACCAUACAAGAAACAAAUCUGAAAUAUUCUAUGCAUACUCAUCACCAUUUUGAAGCACCCAAUAUUAUUCAUAUGCAUGAACUGAUUUCCGUUAAAUAACAACAAUAAUCUAAUCGAAAAAUGGCAAUAAUCGAGCAAAACGACGUUAGAUUACCUACUGCUCGAUCUCAGGGACCUUCUAUACUCUCAAAUUCAACUCUCUCUCUCUCUCUCUCUCUGGGGUACAAAUUGACACAUAAAACAAUUAAAUUAAAGCUAAUCUUGAUUAUCAAAAAUUAAAAGAUAAUAACUUGUUCUCCCAAGAAAAUAUAGAAUUCAAGGAACUUACUAAUGGUAUCGAGUGAUGUACUUCUCAUCUUGCUCAUCUCGAGUUCCAUCCGCCUUGUUGUCCCUACUACAAGCCCAAUACUGUUUUCUGUUAAGUUCAACUUUUGAAAUUAGAACGAAUUGCCUUACCAAAAAGAAAAAGGGUAAGACUCAUUAACCAACUCCAAUCCAAUAUAGAUCGUAAGUAAGUUGAAAGGCAAUCAAAUAAUUGACAGAACGUGAAUGCAUUACUAACCUUUGGGAAUUUUAGUCACAUAGCAUGUCUAUAUUUUUAUUGAGUUCUUCCCAAUACCCCUGAGGAUUAUGCGACUGACGCAAAUAACCUUAAUGUGUCAGCCCAAAAAGUCAAGCCCAAGCUUGGUUCUCUCUGAUUUUUCUACAAUUAUUGAUUGCAGUGUUCAUCCUUCUCUUGCUCAUUUAUAUAUAAGGGUAAUAUUAGUGCGAUUUGAAUCUAAAUAUUCCUUCAACAUCUGAAAAUGGACACAAUAUAUAUUGAAUAAGUUGAAAAUAGAGAAUCUACAUGAUUGAAGAACUUUAUCAACAUAUUGAAACAAUACUUUCCAAGAAUUUAAAAGUCAGUGAAUGAAUUUUAAUUUAAAGUGAAAAGAAGCCUACGAGGGAAAGAAGAUGUUUCAUCUUCACAUGAGCAACUAUGAACUCCAAACACAAAAGUCCACUGUAAUAAAGUUCAAAUUGGCAUAAAGCUUGUAAAUGAUUGUGACUGCCAUGAUUGUAAGGUUUUUCUCGAAAGACCUCACACCAUUAAGAGAAUCUACAUCUUAUAUGUAGUUUCCAAUCUUUUCUUGAGAGAUACAUUAGCUCUCUGGACUAAGUCCAAUAAUGUGUCAACACAACCAUAAUGAACAUAAAAAGAUACUGAUUUUGUGGCUCUUAGUAAAUAUAAUUAAUCACAACAACCCUCUAGAUCUUAAUCCCUACUCUUGAUUUUCCCAUCUGUAACCAUGUAACGAAAAAGCGAAUGAGUAUUUUAUUUUCCAUAGGUAUUUAGUACUCACUUUCUAGAUGACCACACCUUGUAGAUUAAUACCAAUGCAAUCAUUAUUUAAGUACAUGAAGUGAUGUACAGUCUAGAGUAAAUAUGAAUAAAUAUAGAAAAGAGAAGCUCACAGAGGCGUGAUCCUCGAGCGCAUAUCAUUCUGGAACACUGGGAAUGAAGUAAUUUCACUGUAC
rnacentral:lncRNA from 1 species